AUGCGAUUUGCAUUGUGUGAAGUAAACAACUUUAUGGGUUGUUUUUACAAGACAAUGCGACACUUUCCAGGAAUUUAUUAAUCGUUCCAUCCUUCAUUAUGAUGCAGCAUAAACUAAAUAAGAAAAUAUGUUUCAAAUGAAAACUAUUCAGAGAACAUAUUUCAAGUACCUGCAACACAAAAACUGGCUGCUGACCGGCAUGGAAAAUUCCCAAUUGAUAACACACAAAAAUUCCAUUGAGAAAGCAAGAGAAAAGUGUAUCUUUUUGUGUAAAGGUCGGCAACGCAACGAAUCUCUCCGAUAAAUGCGUCUUCUCAUGUUGCAUGUUGCACACUCGCAUUUGUUAUUUGUGCGUUGUCGAAAAUCGAAAUCUGUUUACAUGCGUCAUAGUCACAAAUAGAGAUACAAAAACAACAACAAGAAGAAGCAGCAGCAGCAGCCGAAGACGCAGCAACAACUGAUAAGAGAGCGAAAUCAGUUCGCUGUCGACGUCGCAGUCGACGUUGUCUGACACCAAAUGAGAAUAGUUGACUGCAUUUAAAUGUUUACGUUUAAGUUUAUUAUACUUUUGUUUUUUGUUUUGUUUGGAGAUGUCGAGUACUAAUUACCGCAAUGGCAAGACAUACAUAUAUUAUUAUUAUUAUUCAUGAAUUAGUAUUAUUGUAAUUCUUAUUAUUUUGAAUGACUUGUUAAUUUGACUUUAUUAUCUAUUACAACUAUUAAACUAGCCAAGUUAAUUGCAUUGUCAUUGUUCAAGUGUAUUUUAAUUAUGCUGAUAGAAUUAAUAUCCGAUUUGCUGAUUAGAAACCGAAGAGAACUCAGAAAGUCGAAUUCGAAGCAGACGCUUAGAGAUGUGCAGACAUAGAAUUUAGUUGCUGAUGUUUAAAUCAAAACUAAUGAGAACGAAGCCGGUUAUCUACAUUCAUUUUGAAUAGCUUUAAGGACGGGUUAGUUAAUUAACUUACGUAAAGCAGACAGACGGACAGUCAGACUUAGGAAUUCCUUACUGCGUAUUUGACGGACAAAGAGUAAUACUAUAAAAUAGUAAAAAACAGCCAAACACAAACACAUGUUCAACACUCACACGAAAAGUUGUAAAUCAAAAAGAAAAUAAAUAAAUAAUUAGUAGAAGUAAAUGUUCAAAUUACAUUAUAAAGUAAAGAGAAUAAAUGUUUCGUAAUAAAUUUUUAGAAAUAUCAUAAAAUAUACUUCAAGAAAGGAUAGAAAAGACUCCUCCAUACUGUUGCCUCCAAGUAAAGCAUUGGGACUUUGCUUUGCAAAAUGUUGGGACUUAAAAAAGAUACGAGACAAUAAAAACUACAAGCGAAAUAAUAGUUAAAUUUAAUCAUCUAAUGGGUAAUAUAAUUUUUGUUGUUUAAGGCAUUUGCGGGAUAUUAAAAUGGUUUAACGUAUUCGUAAGUAUUUUUCUUCAUAUUCGGGCACAGAGAUCAGGUGGAAAAUUCCUUCUCUCGUGUUCAUUUUCUUUCACUUUUCAGUUUUUCUUUUCGUUUUUGUUUUUAGUGGUUGUGGGACGGUUUUUCACAAUGGAAAAAGGCACGAAUGUGUUUUUAACAUUUUCGUUUUGUUUUCAUAAGGCGGCCGGGUGACUCUACUCUUUGAGAAUUUCGAGUCGAGCAGCCCAAAAAUACAUUGUAUGAUUUAAUUUGAUUUAAAUUUUUUACGAAUUUUAAACUGGUUUUUUUUUCAUCGUUUUGUUUUUUGUUAAAUUUUCUUUGUUUUGGUUUUGUUUAAAUGUGAUGUAAAAAACGCGUACAAACAAUUACCCAAAAAUAAAGUCGAACUUAAAAACAUUUUGUUCAAAAAAACAACAAUAUUUAAGUCAAUUACGCGGCGUUUCACGCUCCGCACUUAUGUGACACAAUCUGUUCCCAAAUAUCCGGAAGGGAACGUCACUUUGGAGAACUUUCUAAAACGCCAGCGAUUUGCUCAUUAUUCAAUUCGUAUCGAUUAAAUUACUUAUGUUACGUUCACCAAAGUCGUAUAUCGAAAAGGUAGAAUGCAAAAAUUUGAUGAGAAUGUUUUAGAAAAUAUUUGAAAAGAAUUUGAGAAGGUUUUCGAAUGAUAUUCGACUUGCAUGAGCAUUAACAUUUUGGUAUUUAUCAGGCGAGCUUUUCAAAAGCUAUAUUAAGGACUUGCGACGAGACGAGUGACUAAUGCACAUGCGGUGAAUAUGCGCUGCCGAUCGCUGACAAUCUUCGGGGCACGUGAAGCGCCCUCUGUGGGUCGCGAUCGGGGUCUUAAAAGUCAAAUAUAUGUAGAAGACAGAGUUUUGAGACAGAGAGAGAUAGUGAGAGAGAUAGAAAGUCAAAGAGAUAAGAUAGUAUAUAUGUUAUGUUUGUUUUUAAGUAUUAUUAUGCUAAUUGUUAAUAAUCAAACAAAAGUCUAGUUGCUAAAUUUUGGUUUUUUUCUUUCUUUCUUUUCGUUUGUUUAUAAAUCAAAGUCCGAAAGUUUACAGAGGCAACAGCAGACGAACAAAAUCCAUCCCCCGAGUGUUUCCAAGUGAUAAAAAUAUAAAGUUUAUUGCAACAAAAAAAUAGAGCACAAAUAUAAGAGACUAAACAUAAACUAAGAUAAACGCAAUACAAUCACUAAAUCAACUACAGAUUAUUUUAUACACAGAAAAGUCAACUACAACUAAAGGAUACAUACAUACAUACACAUACAAAGACAGAUUCACACCCGAUUCGCAUUCACAACGUACACAAACAAAGGGAUAAAGUCAAUUGUGAUUGCAAUUAAUUUCAGCUGGUUACUUAAGUACUUAAAUGACUCUGCAGUUAUAUACGAGUAUAUAUGUGUAUAGCAAAUGUGUGAAUACUUUAGCAAAUAUUGAGGCUAGUUGCAUACAAUAUCUUGGCAAAUACAGUUACAUAUAUGUAGUAAUAUAUUGUAUGUAAUAUACGAGGCUAGAUUGAAUACAUAUACAUAGUCGUCAUAUCUAGUAUCAUAUCGUAAUAUGCGCUAAUCAUUAAA